UUACGGCCAUAUCACGGAAUCUACCGGUUCUCGUAUGAUCAGCGAAGUUAAGCAACGUCAAGUCUGGUCAGUACCUAGAUGGGUGACCGCUUCGGAAUACCAGGUGCUGGAA